UACGUAGGGGGCAAGCGUUGUCCGGAAUCAUUGGGCGUAAAGCGCGUGUAGGCGGUCCGGUAAGUCCGCUGUGAAAGUCGGGGGCUCAACCCUCGGAUGCCGGUGGAUACUGUCGGGCUUGAGUACGGAAGAGGCGAGUGGAAUUCCUGGUGUAGCGGUGAAAUGCGCAGAUAUCAGGAGGAACACCGGUGGCGAAGGCGGCAUCCUGGACCGGCAUUGACGCUGAGGAGCGAAAGCCAGGGGAGCAAACGGG
rnacentral:rRNA from 1 species